rnacentral:rRNA from 1 species
ACACCGUCAGCCCAAGAGGUGGCCAUUUUUAUUGGGUCUAAAGGGUCCGUAGCCGGUUUGGGCAGUCCUCCGGGAAAUCUGAUAGCUCAACUAUUAGGCUUUCGGGAGAUACUGCCAGACUUGGAACCGGGAGAGGUAAGAGGUACUACAGGGGUAGGAGUGAAAUCCUGUAAUCCCUGUGGGACCAACUGUGGCGAAGGCGUCUUACCAGAACGGGUUCGACGGUGAGGGACAAAAGCAGGGGGCACGAACCGGAUUAGAUACCCGGGUAGUCCCAGCCGUAAACGAUGCUCGCUAGGUGUCAGGCAUGGCGCGACCGUGUCUGGUGCCGCAGGGAAGCCGUGAAGCGAGCCACCUGGGAAGUACGGCCGCAAGGCUGAAACUUAAAGGAAUUGGCGGGG